AACCAAUUAAAUACUGAUGGAAUAAAACCCCCAUCAUCCAAAAGAGGAAAAGGUUCCUUCCUUCUCGUGAGCUUCAGGUAUGAUUUUGAAUUUAGAUCAUGUGAAGAGGCUUCAGGUAUGGUAAUCAAGCAUCACGCAUCACUCAUCUUCAUCUUCACCUAUAAUACAUGAUUUGGGGAAAAAAACGUCCGUCGCCCCUUGAUAAUCAUGGUGGUUGGAAACGACAAUCUUCAGUCAUCUCCACCCACUCGCUCCGUAAACGGCGAUCUUCUGUUCUCUGGUGACAACGCAAGGUUGAUGGUUGAAUCUCCAUCUCAAACGUUUAAUUUGAAUUCAAAUUUGUAAUUCCGUAUUGUGAUUCGUGGCAUAAGGAAUCGAUAUUUGACUCAUUGUUAUACAAUGUUUGUUUGGGUGCCCUCACACCCCUCAUGUUAUCUGAUUCUGAAAAUCAUUGUAUGAACAUGUUGUGUCAUGAAGCAUGCCUCGAUAGUAUGCUCUUAAUUAGGUUAAUUGAGUUCAUCAAUAAAAGUGUAGUCUAAGGGGGUGUUUGGCCUAGUUUUUAUUUUUUGGCUUAUGCUUAUAUUUUAAAGUAGCUUAUAGCUUAUUUUCUAUCAUUUGAUAAGCUCUUUUUAAUGUGUUUGGAUUAGCUUAUAGCUUAUUUAUAUCAUUUGCCCUUACACAAAGAAGGCUUCUACAAAUAAGCUAAAAAACCAUCAUCAAAUAAGCUUAUUCAAAUUAGCUUAUAUAAGCUAAUAAGCAUAAGCUUAAAAAGCUAAACCAAACAUCAAAUUAAGCUUAUUUUAUAAAAAAAGCUAAAAAAAGCUAUAAGCUUUGUUAAAAAAACUAGGCCAAACACCCCCUAAGUGUAUUUUUGUAUGUCAGAACCAAUUGAGCUUUGUAAAGACAAACCUUCAGAGGGUUCUGUCAAUGGAAUGGAAGUAAUAUGAGCUAUCUCUUGUGGUUUUGCUUUUGAAAUAUAUAAAUAGAGAUUGGUUUAUUAUGAUAAAAACUAUCAUUGGUUGGUUAUCUAAUUAUACUUAUUGCCUCUAUCCUUCAACUCCAUGUUAGUAAAAUAGGCAGAGUUUAAUUUUACUGGAAAGGACCAUUCAGGUACAUGAAUAAAAAAAAAGAAAUCAGCUGAUACUAAAUUUUCACUCUCAUUUGCAAAUAUUGAAUUACUAUAGAUUGGAUUGAAUAUAGUUUAUCGCUACUGUUUUCGGUUGUGACACUACGGGUUUUCGGUUAGCGAUGACGUCUUUAUUUUAUUUUAUUUUUAUUUUUUUUUUUUUGAACGUCCAACAUAAGAAUCGCGGCACCCAUUGGCCAAAAGGUAGCCCGCGGCAGCCCAACCUGCACGCACGGAGCCCCUAGCCCACCAUGCCACCAGUUCCGGGGAAAACCCGACCCUGCACCCGCCCGAGGGCACGACAAUGCAAAGCCGGUAAAACCCGGGUGGAUCAGGAAUCGAACUCGAGACCUUUCGGUCAAGAGUCUUCCUUCAUUUCCAUAACCACUGAGCCAAUGCGACGUCUUUAUUAUGUACACUUUUUAAAGCAAAUUUUGUUGGUAUUUGUUUUGGAGCUCUGCUUGGCAUUAAGUUCUAACUCAAAAGUAAUGCCAUAAAUUAUUAUCUUCUACGCACAAAUAUCUUCAAUCUUUCUAAAUGAGUGGAGCUAUGAUGUUCUUACUAUAUAUGGUUUCAAUUUUGAUUAGGUGUUGCUUUUGAUUACUUGGAAUUAGCUCUUCAGAAGUCUGAAGGUUCAUUCUUCUUCUUGAAGAUCUCAGUUUAGUGAGUAAAGGCAAGAUUGGAAUUUGUCAUCUGAUACCGAUAAAUAAGAAUUAUAUUACAUGCUUCUUAUGAUUAUUGAUGUAUUUUAUAGUACUAACACCCUGGUAUUUGGCUAGAAAAAUUGAACAUUUCUUUUCCCCUUAAUAAAUUCUUGAACCACCAAGUGAGGAGGAGGUUUCUCUAAUUCUGAAAAGUUUUGGACAACUAUAUUUUAACAUGUUUUAUACGAGUUUACAUUGUCACGUACUUGUAUCAUUCUUGUGUUUUUGCAAUUGCUGCAUGAAAGAUUGGAUAAUAUGUGCUAAAAGUGAGAUUGUGAGCUAGCUUGAAAAAAUUGAAGCAGCCUCAGCAUGAAAGGAGUAAGGAGUAAGUAUGAAUGAUCUUUAUGUGUGAAUGUGUGAUUAACCAUUUAAUAAACAUGUCCUAUUUCGGUUGACAAGCUUAAUCCUGUUAAUUAAACGUGUUGUAUUUGGGUCAACACGUUUAACCCAUUUUAUUAAACAGGUCGACCUGCUGACACGUUCAAAAUUUAGAUUAAAAAAAUCAAAAAGAAAAAAUAAUAGGUCAAACCGCAACCCAUUUUAACCCAUUUAUAAGCAAAUUGAUUUGGGUUAUAUUUAUUUUUGACUGGCCAAAUUGGUUAAGCUUAAAUUAGAGAUGGGCAUAAUCAGGUAUUCUUAAAACCUGGAACCGGUUCUAACCCGAAACCGGGUAUGGAUACAAGUGAGUGGACCCGGGUGCUCAGUGGAACCGGUUCCGGAUACAACCCGGGUACAUGUCAAUAUAUUUAGAACCGGCGUAACCAGUUUCGGGUACAAUGGAACCGGGUACGGGUACUGUGUGGAACCGGGUACGGGUACUAUUUGUAACCGGUUACAGUGAGUUUUUCAAUAAAGCUGCUGCACACUAUUCAGAAUCGGUUCCCCCUGAAAAAGUUGUUUUUUUUUUAUUUUUGUACCGUUAGGAAUCGGUUUUUUAAU